UCCGAUUCCCCAUCCGAGUAACGAAUCGCCGUUGAUUUUUGUGCUGAGAUAUGUGUAUCUCCCGUUACAAAGACCUGAAGUUAGAAACCCAUUUAUUCGAUAGUAGUUGAAUUUUCUCUGGAAAUUAUGAUCAGUUUGUUCUAAUUUCUAAGCUUUGCUGGGAAACACCAAGUGUUUCUUUGUUUAUCCUUUGGACGUCUGCUUGAUAACAACAUUUUUUCCUUGCUUUUGCUUUUCUGAAUGUGUGUGUGUAGCUUUCGUCUUGUAUUAAAGAGGGAGGUGACACUUUGGUUAGAGGCAGAGUAUUUGUGAAACGAAGUCGAUGGAUUUAGAUUUCGAUGAUCAACCCUUGGAUCACGCUGCACCAGCAGCUAAGGCUGGUGCAAGGUUUAAACCGAAAGGUAGACCACAACCCAAGAAGAAGCAAGUCUCUCUUUUAACCUCCCAACCAACUCUCCCUACCGAUGUUGCCAAGGAAAAACUCUCAACACAAAGCGAACAUCUGGUUUCUGUAGAUGCAUCAUCGGCUUAUCCCAACAAGUUUUCAACUUCUGAGACUAUUGUGCCUGAUAGUGGAACCAUCAACCAGUCUACCGGUGGAACAAUAUCUAAAGAGAAUGUAGAUGUAUUCUUAGGAAGGGUUAGUUGGUGUAUGGAACCAUCUGUUCUUCGUGCUUGUACUAACGUGAAUUUGGAAGGAAAAAGAUGUGAUGAUGGCAUAAAUCCUGAUGAUCCUCGAGCACAAGAUUCUGCAGCGUUUGGAGAUUUUGUUACUCCUGAAACGGAUGAAGUUAUCCGUGUUCAAACUCAAAGGAUGCAAACAAGGGAGGAAGAGUCUCAUCUGGACAUGGAAACUCUUGAUAUUGUACAGGAGGAAGGCAUGACCAGAGCAUAUGAGCACCAUACUGGAAAGUUCCAGCCAAAGCCGAGGUUGCUCGACACUGUGAUUGAAGAACCUGAGUCUCAUUACUCUGUUGAUGAUACUGGUUAUUUUACAACGGGUACUAACGAGUCUGAGUUUAUGGCCAAUGUGGAAUCAAGAAACGAUUUCAAUACGAAUACUACAUUUUAUAGAGAGCUUCAAGAAGAACCCAGAGAAACGGUUCCUGAGAUGGAAGCGCAAAAUGCUUCUGGGGGACGGGAACACGAAGAACGGACAAACAAUACAGUUAUAGGAGAGGAAGAAAAUUGUUUGGGGAGUACUGUAGAAGAACGGCCUGGAAGAGAAAGGAAAAAAGGGAGAUCGAAGGGAGCUACUGCUCGAAAGCGGAAAAUCACCGGUGAAGAGGAUCCAAAUAAGACUAGCGAAAAUCCGCAGAAGAAGAAGUUCAAGCAUUCAAGUCGUCGACAGAGAAAAAGAACUGUGGAGAAGGAAUUGCUUGAAACCCCGGAUGACGAAAUCAGAUUUCUGCCUAUUAAAGAUAUGCUUCGCCUUGUUGAAUAUAAAGAAUGGAUGGAGAAAAAGGAAGCAAAGGGAGCUGCUGUUGUGCCGCCUGCCCAAGAAAGUAAUACAAAUGCAUCGGAUAACCAGUAUUAUUCUCAAGGUUUUGACGCAGAAGAUGAAUUUGGUAUAGAGGAGAACGAAAAUCAAGAAACUAACGUAGUUAAACCGGACUCACCGGUUAACUAUCAAACGUACAUGAACAAGACUUCCAGAACUCGAUGGUCAAAACAAGAUACCGAACUCUUCUAUGAGGGAAUUCAAGAGUUUGGGAGCAAUCUAUCGAUGGUACAGCAACUGUUUCCUAAUAGAACGCGUGAACAAAUUAAGCUGAAAUUCAAAUUGGAAGAACGCCGGUAUCCAUUGAAACUUAAUGAUGCAUUAUCAAGUCGGUCAAACACCUUACUCACUUCCAGAAUGUGAUUAAGAAGCUUCAACAAGAAGCUGCGGCUGCAAGGGAAGGAGAAGAAGAAGAAGAAGAAGAAGAAGAAGAAGAAGCUGGAGCAGAGGCAGAGACAACUACUGAUGUUCCCGAGAAUGAGGAGCCGACCAAGUCUGAGGAAACUGAGCGAGCUGGUGAUGGAAUAGCUGGAGUUAAGGAAUCGGACGGUGGGGAUAUUGAAAAUGGCGUGAGAUCGGACGGUGAAGAUGAGGGAGAUGAUGAUUUUUGGAAUUCUUAUAAAAGCGAUAUGUAAACUACAUAAACAAAUUAGUCUUUUGGUCGUAAUAAAAUCAUUACUUAGUUAUUUUUUCUUCUAAUUAAUCACGUUUAUUUAUUUUGAGUAUAAAUUUGU